GAUGAACGCUGGCGGCGUGCCUAAUACAUGCAAGUCGAGCGAACAGAUGAGGAGCUUGCUCCUCUGACGUUAGCGGCGGACGGGUGAGUAACACGUGGAUAACCUACCUAUUAGACUGGGAUAACUUCGGGAAACAGCAGCUAAUACCGGAUAAUAUAUUGAACCGCAUGGAUCAAUAGUGAAAGACGGUUUUGCUGUCACUUAUGGAUGGAUCCGCGCCGCAUUAGCUAGUUGGUAAGGUAACGGCUUACCAAGGCAACGAUGCGUAGCCGACCUGAGAGGAUGAUCCGCCACACUGGAACUGAGACACGGUCCAGACUCCUACGGGAGGCAGCAGUAGGGAAUCUUCCACAAUGGGCGAAAGCCUGACGGAGCCACGCCGCGUGAGUGAUGAAGGUCUUCGGAUCGUAAAGCUCUGUUAUUGGGGAAGAACAAAUGUGUAAGAAACUAUGCACGUCUUGACGGUACCUAAUCAAAAAGCCACGGCUAACUACGUG
rnacentral:rRNA from 1 species